rnacentral:rRNA from 1 species
UGCGUAGGCGGCGGCAUAAGUCAGAAGUGAAAGUUGGCAGCUUAACUGCAAAAUUGCUUUUGAUACUGUGUUGCUUGAAUCACGUUGAGGCUGGCGGAAUGUGGCAUGUAGCGGUGAAAUGCUUAGAUAUGCCAUAGAACACCAAUUGCGAAGGCAGCUGGCUAGACGUGUAUUGACGCUGAGGCACGAAAGCGUGGGGAUCGAACAGGAUUAGAUACCCUGGUAGUCC